rnacentral:rRNA from 1 species
GAGUUUGAUCAUGGCUCAGAUUGAACGCUGGCGGCAGGUCUAACACAUGCAAGUCGAGCGGUAACAUUUCAAAAGCUUGCUUUUGAAGAUGACGAGCGGCGGACGGGUGAGUAAUGCCUAGGGAACUGCCCAGUCGAGGGGGAUAAUAGUUGGAAACGACUGCUAAUACCGCAUACGCCCCACGGGGGAAAAGAGGGGCUCUUCGGACCUUCUGCGAUUGGAUGUACCUAGGUGGGAUUAGCUAGUAGGUGAGGUAAUGGCUCACCUAGGCGACGAUCCCUAGCUGUUCUGAGAGGAUGAUCAGCCACACUGGGACUG